UACGUAGGGACCGAGCGUUGUCCGGAAUCAUUGGGCGUAAAGAGCGUGUAGGCGGCCACUUAAGUCCUGCGUGAAAUCUUGCGGCUCAACCGCAAGCGGUCGGUGGGAAACUGGGUGCUGAGUGCGGGAGAGGAGAGUGGAAUCCUGGUGUAGCGGUGGAAUGCGGCAGAGUAUCAGGAGGAACGACCGAUGGCGAAGGCAGGUCUCGUGGCCACUA
rnacentral:rRNA from 1 species